rnacentral:rRNA from 1 species
UAGGGAAUCUUCGGCAAUGGACGAAAGUCUGACCGAGCAACGCCGCGUGAGUGAAGAAGGUUUUCGGAUCGUAAAACUCUGUUGUUAGAGAAGAACAAGGGUGAGAGUAGAAAGUUCACCCCUUGACGGUAUCUAACCAGAAAGCCACGGCUAACUACGUGCCAGCAGCCGCGGUAAUACGUAGGUGGCAAGCGUUGUCCGGAUUUAUUGGGCGUAAAGCGAGCGCAGGCGGUUUCUUAAGUCUGAUGUGAAAGCCCCCGGCUCAACCGGGGAGGGUCAUUGGAAACUGGGAAACUUGAGUGCAGAAGAGGAGAGUGGAAUUCCAUGUGUAGCGGUGAAAUGCGUAGAUAUAUGGAGGAACACCAGUGGCGAAGGCGGCUCUCUGGUCUGUAACUGACGCUGAGGCUCGAAAGCGUGGGGAGCAAACAGGAUUAGAUACCCUGGUAGUCCACGCCGUAAACGAUGAGUGCUAAGUGUUGGAGGGUUUCCGCCCUUCAGUGCUGCAGCUAACGCAUUAAGCACUCCGCCUGGGGAGUACGACCGCAAGGUUGAAACUCAAAGGAAUUGACGGGGGCCCGCACAAGCGGUGGAGCAUGUGGUUUAAUUCGAAGC